GGGGAUGCAAUGGUUUCGACGGGAGUUCGGAAAGUAGAAAUAGCCAUCCGCAGGCCGGUUACUGCGUAUCAAGCCGGAAACUUAAAAAAGAAACGACAAAGAUUAUUCUUUGAUGGCGGCUUAAUGCCGCCCGUCAGCCUGCUGUUGCUCACAGCGGCAGAGUCUGGCGCCGACUUUGUGAGGAACUGCCCCGCCUAAGCUUUGCGGCAGGGUAAGAAAGAUGAAGCUACCAAAACGCCUGCUGCCUGCCUAUGGGCAGGAGGCUGAGGGAAUAAAAGACCAUAGGCUGUGAUGGGAGAGGUUUUUACCGAUGGGCUUUCGGACAGGAGUUCGAUUCUCCUCAUCUCCA
rnacentral:tmRNA from 1 species